ensembl:lncRNA
CCUUUUUCGUACUUUUUGUUUUUGUCCUUUUCUUUUUAAGAGGAGGUUCAUCCAGAUGCCUUCUCCUGACCCAGCUUACUCACUGGAAAAUAGGAUGGAGCAAACAGAAUUAGGAUUUAACCCCAUUCAAGGUGCAGAAGAAUUCGAAGGUGGGAGCUGUCAUCAUCUACAUUUGCCAGAGAAGGAAACCAAGAAGUUAACUUACUUGCUGAAGGUAACACAGUUUCUGGAGCAGAAUUUGAAUCCAGAUCUUCUUGCUCCAAGUAAAUACUGUUUCUUUCAUAAUAUUCUGCCUCUCAAAUUAACUUUUUUGUGUAUUCCCAUUGCCACAUUCAAGAACACACACACACACACACACACACACACACACACACAAGUGCGAAUGCCUGCACAAAACAUGUAACCUUCUUUAUACAGAUCUACCUUUCCAGAUACAGAUUUAUUUAUGUCAUUUUGCUGAGCAAGCUAACAGUCUCUCUCCCUGAAGGACAGUAUUGUACAUAAACCUGAGAUUUUAUGGAGUCUUCGAGGCCUCUGAUAACCUUUUACAAUUUUCCCUUGUUAAUUAACAGAGCCAAUGGCUUUCCCUCAAUAGACGCUAUGUAUUCUUGCUGCGUAUCCCCUGUUUGUUGUGUGUAUUUGGGGAGUUGGAAGCUGUGCAGGGGAUGAAGACAUUAUUCUUGUCUGAAGUCAUGAGCCAGAUAGAUUCACCACACCUGGGAGGGGAGGAAGAACUAGACUGGGCCAGGCCAGGCCAGGCCAGGCCAGGCCAGGUCAGGCCAAGUCAGGUCACGCCUUUAGCUAAGGAUUAGAUAAGAAAGCUUUGUGGACCAUUAAUCUGAGACUGGGUAGUUGUCUGGUCUACAUACUUCUAAUCAUUUUAGCCUGAUGUGUUAUUUCUGGAUUGUUUAUUCUCUUUUCCCUUGUGAAUUAGCUUUGGAAAACACUCUCUUAUGAACUAGAAUAUAUGGUGAUGGAGUGAAAAGGGAAAUGAGUGUUGGGAAAGAACCACAAGAUCUAUAGAGGGGGAAGAGAUAAUUAAGGGAGUUGGAUAACAGAUCUCCCAAGUCCAGAGAAACAAAUCAGGGCCAAAGAAUGAGAAAAUAAUGGGCUACGGGGCUUUAAGGAUGGGACUGAAGGAUCAAGAAUGAGUUAGUAAGAGAUGAAAAGUGAAAGUUCUGGUGGAGGGAUCCUAAGACAAUUCUCUGAGUGGUCUCUAAGAAGAGGAGAAGCAAGAAAUUGGCUAUAACUCUGGAAAGACUGAAGUCCAGGGCCAAAACCUGGGGUCUUUGUAGAGACAGAAAAAAAAAAAAACUCUUCAGCUCCUCUGACUUACAGGAAUGAGUAGGUAGGAAGGAGUUCCAGAACUUUAUAGGAAUUUUCUUUCACCUGGGGGAUAAAAUAUGGUAAAUGAUGGAGCCUCACAACAAGAAGAAUACUUUUGUGGUAGCAGGUUUUAGCAUUAGAGCAGCUAGGUGUCAGAGUAGAGUGCCAGGCCUGGAGUCAGAAAGACCCAUCUUCCUGAGUUAAAAUCUGCUACUAGCUGUGUGACCCUGGGAAGCCACUUAACCCUGUUAGCCUCAGUUUCAUCAUCUGUAAAAUGAGCUGGAGAAGGAAAAGGCCAACCACUCUAGUACCUUUGCCAAGAAAACUACAAAUGGGGUCAUGAAGAGUCAGACAUGACUAAAAUAACUGAAUGGCAACAACAACUAACAACAACAGGAUCAGGAAUUAGUAACAUUAAUAUUAGUUCUCCCAGUGACUAAAAUAAAUGUCAGGGUGGGAUUUGAACUCA